CCCUGCGUAGCUCAAUGGUAGAGCGGCGGUUUGUGGCACCGCAGAUCCGGGUCCGAUUCCUGGCGCGUGGA
rnacentral:tRNA from 1 species